CUUGUACUCCUUCCGUCCGAAAAUACUUGUCAUUGAAAUGGAUGUAUCUAGAUGUAUUUUAGUUCUAGAUAUAUCCAUUUUGAUGACAAGUAUUUUCGGACGGAGGGAGUAGCAC
rnacentral:pre_miRNA from 1 species